GAUGAAGAACGCAGUGAAAUGCGAUAAGUAGUGUGAAUUGCAGAAUUCAGUGAAUCAUCGAAUCUUUGAACGCACAUUGCGCCCUUUGGUAUUCCAAAGGGCAUGCCUGUUCGAGCGUCAUUUGUACCCUCAAGCUUUGCUUGGUGUUGGGCGUCUUGUCUCCAGUUCGCUGGAGACUCGCCUUAAAGUAAUUGGCAGCCGGCCUACUGGUUUCGGAGCGCAGCACAAGUCGCGCUCUCUUCCAGCCAAGGUCAGCAUCCACAAAGCCUUUUUUCAACUUUUGACCUCGGAUCAGGUAGGGAUACCCGCUGAACUUAAGCAUAUCAAUAAGCGGAGGA
rnacentral:misc_RNA from 1 species